GGGGUCGAUCGGUUUCGACGGUGACCUGUUCGUUGCAGGGAAGCGUGCCGAGAAUGCAGGGGUCCGCUCGUUAACGUCCUCCUGCAGGAAUUAAGUGCUAAAUCUAAUCGCACUGAGUUUGCACUUGCUGCCUAAGCUUCGCGCUAGGAAUUAAACAGCGAGUUCCAGCUCCGUCCUCUCCUUUUCGCCUUCGGGAGGAAGCAGGGCGUCAUAAGAAGGCUUACCUGGGAUACUGAGGCUCAAGGUAUUUCAGGGAAAUCUGAUUGAGCCUAUGCCUGUUGUGCGUUGUCUGCGUCAGCGCAAGGGCAGAUAAAUAGCCAUAACGGCCAGCAGACUACGCACGUAGAAGACUGCAGGUACGGUUACCGGACCGGGGUUCAAUUCCCCGCGGCUCCACUU
rfam:Scardovia wiggsiae F0424 genomic scaffold supercont1.1, whole genome shotgun sequence.